rnacentral:rRNA from 1 species
GGGUUGUGAGGUUAAGCGACUAAGCGUACACGGUGGAUGCCCUGGCAGUCAGAGGCGAUGAAGGGCGUACUAAUCUGCGAUAAGCGCCGGUAAGGUGAUAUGAACCGUUAUAACCGGCGAUACCCGAAUGGGGAAACCCAGUGUGAUUCGUCACACUAUCAUUAACUGAAUCCAUAGGUUAAUGAGGCGAACCGGGGGAACUGAAACAUCUAAGUACCCCGAGGAAAAGAAAUCAACCGAGAUUCCCCCAGUAGCGGCGAGCGAACGGGGAGGAGCCCAGAGCCUGAAUCAGCAUGUGUGUUAGUGGAAGCGUCUGGAAAGGCGCGCGAUACAGGGUGACAGCCCCGUACACAAAAGCGCAUGUGCUGUGAGCUCGAUGAGUAGGGCGGGACACGUGGUAUCCUGUCUGAAUAUGGGGGGACCAUCCUCCAAGGCUAAAUACUCCUGACUGACCGAUAGUGAACCAGUACCGUGAGGGAAAGGCGAAAAGAACCCCGGCGAGGGGAGUGAAAAAGAACCUGAAACCGUGUACGUACAAGCAGUGGGAGCACCCUUUGGGUGUGACUGCGUACCUUUUGUAUAAUGGGUCAGCGACUUAUAUUCUGUAGCAAGGUUAACCGAAUAGGGGAGCCGGAGGGAAACCGAGUCUUAACCGGGCGUUAAGUUGCAGGGUAUAGACCCGAAACCCGGUGAUCUAGCCAUGGGCAGGUUGAAGG